rnacentral:rRNA from 1 species
UACGUAGGGUGCGAGCGUUGUCCGGAAUUAUUGGGCGUAAAGGGCUCGUAGGCGGUUUGUCGCGUCGGGAGUGAAAACACCGGGCUUAACUCGGUGCUUGCUUUCGAUACGGGCAGACUAGAGGCAUUCAGGGGAGAACGGAAUUCCUGGUGUAGCGGUGAAAUGCGCAGAUAUCAGGAGGAACACCGAUGGCGAAGGCAGGUCUCUGGGCAUUAACUGACGCUGAGGAGCGAAAGCAUGGGGAGCGAACAGG